rnacentral:ncRNA from 1 species
UAUAAAGCAUUGAUGAGAAAGAGUAGUUGAACCUCGUCUUUUCCAGAGAGCCCCUAUGAGCUGAAACGGGGUAAAGAUGAGCAUAAUGAAGAUGGUCUCUGAGCUGCACUUCGAAACCAUUUUGGGAGUAGGUUGUGACGGGCGCACCCGUUAUCGUGCUAGGGUAUACAAACAUUUUUUUGACGUACCCGAAAUAAGGUCGAUGCGUGCGUCGAUGAACUUGGGUGGUAACACGGAGAUAACUCUCGUCCCUUUA